CCUUAUUGCUCACUCGAGCUGUCUCUCCCGUACACACAUCCUGCUCGCGCGCGGAAGCUGCUGGGAACAUGGCUGGUGAUUUAACUCUGCUCGCCGCUGUCUCUCUUCUUUCCGCCUUCCAGCAAUGUCAUUUUGCUUGGCUGGUGGGGAAAUCGAGAAUGAAGCACAAGGUCAUGCCCCCAGCUGUCACUGGACCUCCAGAAUUUGACAGAACAUUUCGUGCACAACAAAACUGUGUGGAGUUUUACCCAAUAUUCCUGACUGUCCUCUGGACUGCGGGGUGGUUUUUUAAUCAAGAAGUAGCUUCCUUCCUGGGUGUGUUGUACGUGUUUGCCCGCUACAAGUACUUCCAUGGCUACGCGCAGUCCGUGAAAGGAAGGUUAACAGGUUUUUACUUGAAUCUGAUAAUUCUAACUUGCUUGAUAACCCUGGGUGCAGCUGGGAUUGUUAACAGCUUUCUGGAUGAAUACCUGGACUUCCGCAUUAUGAAGAAACUACGUAAAAUGUUCUGAAGACUGUUUUGUUUUCUUAAAUAAAUAACAUGGAUGCUUUUGCUGAAUACCAAAAAGACAAGCCGCAUGCGAAUAAAGCAUCAGAGCUCUGCUAACAGCCCGCUGCGAUGCAAAA